rnacentral:lncRNA from 1 species
UUUCAUGCUUAACAUACUAAAAAGGACACUAUUCUCUUUACUUAAGCAUUCUAUCAAACAUAUGGGGAGCAUGCUUUGGUUAUACCACAGAUUCUAUACUUAAUUAUCAUGAAUACAUCAAUAUCAUGCAACUUGAAGAGGGUUUAUCAUGAACAUCAUACAAUCCAUCACAUACUAGAAUCAACUCUUGAAAUUGGUAGUCUAAAUCAUGAAUUAAAACUCAAUAAUAA